GUGGUUCUUCGGUGGGGGUGAGUCGGUGGCUGUUUACCACAGGUGGCAAUUGUUGGUACUUGGGUUGAUCCUUCAGGCCCAUAUGAUGGUAAGGUGGAUUAAGGAGGUGAUGAAGUCAUUGCGGAGCUUCGUACUGAUUUCCAUCUGGUCCCUGCCAUCUUCUCUACAGUUUCUUAUGUUACAUGGUUUGGCAAUAUGUCAUAAGUUCUGCAGUCCGUUUAUUCUGAUUUUCUUAUCUUACUGAUUUAGGUUAACACCUAUCAUGAUAUUUGUCAUUUAGCAGGACAUAUGUUCUUCAUAUACAAUAUGCAUGACUUCUAAGUUUCAUAAGAUUUCUCUGUUCAAUCACAAGUCUCCUACUUUCUGAUUGCUCUCAUGGCGGUAUUCGCGUAAGCUGAGUACCAAAAAUGCAUAUAUAGUGGACAUUUUAUUUAGUAUUUCACACUUGAUUCAUUCGAAUGACUAUAGGCAAAGUAGAUUGGUAUAUAGUUAAAUUUGUUGCUACCUGAGUUCUAUUCUCCUUUGGUAAUCCCAUGUUGCUGAUCUUUGCCUUCAACCUGGAGUUUUAUUGUGCCGACGUCGGUGUACUUACCAUCCCUGCUCCGGCUCUCCGCCUCUGCCACAGACGUGCCGCACCGAGACAUGGAGCGCUUGCUACAUGGUAUCACAUACUGACGUCUAAUAUUUUCUCUGCAUGGUUUGCAGAUAGAGACUGAUAUAGAUGAUGACCAGAUCUUAAAUUGAGAGAGCAACGGGUAGAUAGGAAGGGUGCCAACAAGUUCAAGAAAUGAUGGCAAGAAGAGAGGAAGCUGACAAGCAUACACUACAACACCAAAGAAAAGCAAUGAAGUAAAACAAAGCUUAGUGCCCACAUUUCAUUGGGCCGACUGCCGAGACUCCAGCCCCUGAUUAUCUAAAGCAGCUCAGGAAGACUGGUUAUGCACAGUACCCACUGCCACCACUAUGUAUAUUUGCCAGUUAUGUGCUUUUGUACGACAGAGGUUACUGAAAUUUGCUCAUCCUCUAUUUCCUAGCAGUCACCCAUCGCCAAAAACUGGAGCUAGCUACUAGCACACACCUCCAGCUCUCCAAACAAAACUAUUCUCCGUUUAAAACAAGCGGCCAUACUCGAUACGGACAAUCAUGUGACCACCAGCCAGUGUCCCUUCAUGUUCAGUCCAGAAGAAACAUGUAUCCAUGCCGUCUUCCUCAUCAUUAUCCUUCAUGUAAUCCAAUAUAAAGUGAGUCCUAGAUAUGGAGCAACUUUUUAAUGUGGUCUCUUAUAUUA